rnacentral:misc_RNA from 1 species
AAGGUCGUAACAAGGUUUCCGUAGGUGAACCUGCGGAAGGAUCAUUACAAAGUAAAUGCUGGUAGGAAGUGGGGUCUUGAUCUGUAAGUGGUAGAGCGAAGCAGUCCGGCUGCCUCCCGAAAACUGUUUACAUGUCCCCCACACCUGCAUGGCAGGAUAUCACCACUUGAUUAUCUACACUUGUUGCCUUUGGGGAUGCUAAGGUCCCCGAGAGGACCCAACUCUCUUGCAUUUUCAGUGACGUCUGAGUACUAUAUAAUAUUUUGAAAAG